rnacentral:rRNA from 1 species
AGAGUUUGAUCAUGGCUCAGGAUGAACGCUGGCGGUCUGCUUAACACAUGCAAGUCGAACGAACUCUUCGGAGUGAGUGGCGGACGGGUGAGUAACGCGUGAGAAUCUACCUGUGGGUCGGGGACAACCACUGGAAACGGUGGCUAAUACCGGAUGAGCCGAAAGGUAAAAGAUUUAUUGCCCACAGAUGAGCUCGCGUCUGAUUAGCUAGUUGGUAAGGUAAAAGCGUACCAAGGCGACGAUCAGUAGCUGGUCUGAGAGGAUGAGCAGCCACACUGGGACUGAGACACGGCCCAGACUCCUACGGGAGGCAGCAGUGGGGAAUUUUCCGCAAUGGGCGAAAGCCUGACGGAGCAAGACCGCGUGGGGGAGGAAGGUUUUUGGAUCGUAAACCCCUUUUGUCAAGGAAGAAGCUCUGACGGUACUUGACGAAUAAGCCUCGGCUAACUCCGUGCCAGCAGCCGCGGUAAUACGGAGGAGGCAAGCGUUAUCCGGAAUGAUUGGGCGUAAAGCGUCUGUAGGUGGCCAGCUAAGUCUGCUGUUAAAGAUCACAGCUCAACUGUGGGAAGGCAGUGGAAACUGGCAAGCUAGAGGUUGGUAGGGGUAAAGGGAAUUCCCGGUGUAGCGGUGAAAUGCGUA